ensembl:lncRNA
CAUUGAACAAUGGAUUGACUGGAUCAACUGAUGAAACAUGGACAUCAUUCAUCUGCUCCUGCUCCUACUGUCAUGCAUAAUUCAAGCAGUCCGAGGUCAGGUGACGCUGACACCUGAAACACUAACGGUCCUGAAAGGAAAAGAGGCCCGGUUUACCUGCAGGCCCUCCCUCCCCGAGUGGACCGUUAUGGUGUGGCUGAUGAACGGCAAAUCGGUUCUCACCAUCUCCAAUAAGACGGGUGCCCUGAACACUGUCCACCCAAAUGUGACGGCCGAGCAAAGCGGAGACGGCUGGGUGUUGGUCAUCAACAGGACGGAGAGGCACAACGAGGGCUCAGUGGUCUGUGAUCUCCAGGGUAUUACUACGAAAACAGCAAGCCUGUUUGUACAAGAGACGGGCAGCGUGAAAGUCGUUUGGGACAACAGGUUGGCUUUAAAGGAUUCCUGGGUGCAGUUUGAAUGCCUAACAGCAGGAUGGUACCCUGCGCCCACUGUGCAAUGGCAGGUGAAAGAAAAAGAGGGGAAAGAGACAAAACACAUCAGCAGCAGUGAAACGACCAAACUCAACAUCAUGGCAACGAAGAGCUCAGAUGUGUCUUGUCUGGCGUCCGUGUCUGCCCUGCUCACGCCACUGAAGAGCUGCGCCCGUCUGACAGUGGUUGUAGAGGUGGGGCGGGAGAAGGAGGAAGAUGUCUGCAGCGUGGUGCCCCUGGCAAUAAUGUCCUCCCUCUCUGCUCUUCUGCUGCUCCUCCUGCUCUGUAUCUGCACCGUCCUCUGGCUCAGACGAAGGAGACAAGCACGAGCCGGCACACAGGAGGUAGUAAGGUCCGACCAAUCGGUGAGCGGGAGGAGUUCGGUUGCCGAGGCGACAGCCGGGAAGGUCAACCUGGGAUAUUCUAGUGACGGCCCCACAGGUCCCUGAUGUCAUAUCCCCCAGCAACCUGUCUCCACACGGGGACGGACCAGCCCAGGUUUGUCUAAAAGAGCAAAACUCCACCAAUACUAGGAGAAUGACAACAGUUUGAAUCAUGAUAUUAAAUAUAAAAAUGUGGUGCCAAAUACAGUACAGUAUUUACAGGUGCCCCCCUCACUAGUGUUUAUAUUAUAUGAUGUUGCACAUUUUUGUAAAGUUGUAAGCUAUUUUUAUGUGAUCUAAAACUAUUCUGAAAAAUAUAUUGUGACGCCUCUGACUUUAAUGUGCUUUAAUGUAUGCGUGAAAAACUGUUUUAAAAACAUACUCUAACUUUCCCGAAAAUGUGUGUGAUCCUUUAUGUUCGGCUUACAUGUUUUAGAUGACUAUAGUAAUUUAGAUAUAAACUACAGCUCCUUCUUAUUUUUGCAGCUUUGACCAUGAUUACAAUAUUACCCUCAAGAUAAAAGUUGCAAUAAACCACAACAAACAUUUAAUGUAUUAAGUGCCUCUUUUUCUGUUUUAAAUGCGGAAGCAUCUCAAACUCGAUCGAUGUCCCGGUCAUGGAGCGGUGAUGGUUUUAAGAUACAAUAUAAAUGGGAAAGGGUGAGAUGUAAAUUAAGACAAUGUGACUGGUGCUGCAAUAAGAACGAGGUGGUGGUGAGGCGCUCUGGAUUAAUGCAUGAAAUAACAGAUUUAUCUCUGUGUGAAGUGGAUGACGGGACAUUUGCAUUUAAUAAUAGUAAAGAAUGGGGGUUGUGGGGGGGGGGGGGGUAGAAUGGUGGAGAUGGAUGUAUAUGGGUCUGCCAGACACUCAAUAGUUUCAGCAGCAUUGCUGUUAUUAAAGCAGUUGGUGUGAAUUAAAAAGGUGACAUGCCUGGUGUCUGGGAUUUUUUUUUUACCAAACUGCCGCAGUAAUACCCAUGCGUUUCACAUUUCAGACUGAGCCAGUCCCAUGUGAGUGCAUUAAAUUAUUCCCAACGUAGGGUUAUUAUCAUUGUUUAAUAAUGUCACAAUAUUUAACAAAAACUUUCUUUUUUUCUGUAGGAUGUGGUGUAUUUUUUAGGAUUUCUGUGUGAUUCUUCACCUCCCUCAACAACCGCAAAAUAAAUAGCAAAUCAUACAAUUGGCAGCUUAUCCUUUGUUGGAAGGGAAACACUCUUUCACUUCACUGAAAGCCAAUGCACAUUCUGAUUGGCCCUUUCGGCUUUAGAUGAGAUAUAUCUCUGCUGCCAGCCACCUUGAUUAGCCAAAUAUGAUUUCAAGCCUAUAAGAGAAUGGAAUGGCGGCUAAAUCUCUGCAAACACAGCUGAGAAACACAAUUUUGAAGGUGCAUAUUUUCAUAUAAUAAGGAACCACAAAUACAGCAGGGUGGGGGGGGGGUCAAAGCCAGAGAUCUGGAGAAAUCAAGGCCAGAGGCUGACAAAACACAAGCGGGCCUUCUGCUGAAGAAUAAAAACAAGCCAACACAGAAGUAAAAAAAAAGAAUUACUACUACAGUGAUGGAAAGUAGCCUUGAUUUAGAAAACUCGAUGUAAUCCAAAACCAGACCAAAUCAAAACCAAGGCACAAAAAGAAAAAAAUCAAACAAAUCAGCAGGUUGUGGCCUCUUCUAAAAACCAUAAGACAGUUGAGCAUGAUGCUACGUGACACAACACUGUGAGGCGUAUGGGCAGUUAUCAAUGCAGAAGCAACCAGUGGAUUUCUGUCAAACAAAGAGAAAGGUGGACACAGUGUUGACUUUUAAAAGAAAAAAGGUCCCGGCCUAUAUAUCUAUAUUAAAAGCUAAAAAUGGAUCUAGUGUGCUGAAGAAAUAUAUUAUUUCUUAGACUCCUCAUGGCAACAAAUUCAAGAAUAUAAUAUAAGAAUUUACAAAGACUAGUGAAAACCAAUUCAACACCCACGUUCUAUUGCAACGAAAGCAAUCACUAUCAGCCAAUCUUUUUUUCGUUCUAAAUUUAGGUGGUGCGGCUUGUAUUCAAGUGCGCUCUAUAGUCAGGAAAUGAUGGUAAAAGUGCUCUGGGGUGUGAGAGAGGGAAGAUGCAUUUCAUCUACAUAUGACCCGCACUGGCCUAGCUGCAGGGCACACCAACAACCACCAGGAGGAACUCUGUUGUCCUACUGCAGCCAUGACUAAAUUACUCUUAUAAUACAUAUUAAUAAUACAAUGUAUUUCACACAACCACGACCACCACAACUAAUAUAACUGCCAAAACUCCUUCUACCUCAUCAUCAAGCACCACCUUCUCUAAAUAACCCCAAAGUCACUGUCUACCACAGCUACGCCUCCACAUGACUCUAUAGUCAAAGCAGCACGCCUGAAGCCUUCGCAGGAGAGGAGAGGGCUGGAGUAGCUCACAUCCAACACUGCAAAACAAAUGUGGAAUUGAAAAAAUACUGCAAUUGCCAUUCUUAUUCCGGACUGAACACACUGCCACUAACACUACAACUAGCACCAUCGCAACACAUACAGCAACUACACCGACCACAACAUCCGCCGCUACCCUCUGA